rnacentral:lncRNA from 1 species
AAGGCCCUUUGUCUUGGGGAAAGCGGCAAUUGAUCAGUUCUCUUAGAGCCAGAUAGCUGGGCUUUUCAGGGCAGAUGCUAAUGCUGCCCUUUAGAAAGCUCAGGAAUGCAGGUGACCUUCUUGGGUAACAACCUCCUUCCUCGCGGCUUGUCUGUCAUGUUGUCUGCACAGGGAUAUGCUUGGAGAACGUAGGGCCUCAGGGUCCUACGGAAUAAAAUCAACGAUUUGUUGAAGCUCCCUAUGAAGCCAGAACUUACAGAGGAGCCAUUGGGAUGUGACGGGGGUAGAAAGAGAAGAGUCAACGGCGUGUGUGUGGUCUCCAGUUUAGAAGACAGAGAGAGUGCUGCUCCCAGGACUGGAAUGGGGAUGCUGAUCGGCACCAUCUUGUUCACUGUCGAAUCCCCCAAGUUCAGCACAGUGACGAGCGCCUAACAGAUGCUUUAGACAUAUUUUUGGAUGAUUCAAUAAAUAAAUGAACAAAACUGAAGUCAGCAUGUGCUCUCAGAGAAAGUGAAGGAAUAAAUCAGGGGUCAAAAACUCUUUCCCUGGGGCCAGCCCGGUGGCGCAGCGGUUAAGUUCGCACAUUCCACUUCGGUGGCCGGGUGCCGGUGUUCACCGGUUCGGAUCCCGGAGGCAGACAUGGCACCGCUUGGCAAGCCAUGCUGUGGAAUUAAGUGCCUACAGAGUCAUUGGAAGUGAUGGAGGAACAGAUAAUCUCUAGGCUGAGAAGAGAUUCCAAAAAACCCCACAGAACUGGUCCACCGAGGGAAAGGAAUUGCUACUUCUGCUAUAAUCAGGAAGCUACAGGGGUAGGAGGCAACUGCUGGCUCCAUGUCUACACCACUGGCGGUUGGGGGUCAAAAAGCUGCCCCUAGAACAGCUGGCUCCAGAGCCGCGUUGUACCUGCUGGAAUCCACCACAGCAAAACAGCUGCUGCCACUCUCCCCUGCGAGUCCCAGUAAGUGUGUCCCAUGGUGACUGAGUCCCUCCUGGAGCCACACCUGCAGCGAGUUUGGGAAAUGCAGACCCUAGCUUUCCAGCCUCUGCCGUGGAGGAAGUUAUCCCAGAAGGAGGUUGGAACAGAAGCUGAGUGAGCCAACCGACGCUCUCCACUACAGGUGCCAAGCAGAUGCAUGUGCUGCACCUGGAACCUCAAGCACCAGGCAUCUUCGUGAACACCCCCUUCCGACCCAAGCGCACACACUGAGGAAAGGCCGUGCGAGGGCCCUGUGAGAAGGUGGCCUUCUGGAAACCGGGAAUAGAGUCCUCAUGGAACCAACACUGCCAGGACCUUCAUCGUGGACGUCCAGCCCCCAGAACUGACUCCCGAGAGCAGCAUCGUGAGCCUGGCUGAGGGGAGACCCAAGGACGGCCGGGACCCAGCCUCCACGCCAGGCCUACGCUGCAGAGCCCACAUCCCCGACAGCUCUGCAGGCAGACAAGUGAAGGCACUGGUCGUCCCCACCGGGGACAAGCCCCCCGUGACAGCGCCAUGUCCAGUGGGCAGGGGCUGCCUUCUCCGGUUGCUCAGGAGUGAGCAGUUCCGCUGCCCACUCUCCCCUCCCUCCACCCGCGCAUCAUUCUUGAGCUGCUGCCAUAGGAACUUGCCAGGCAGAGGGUUGGUGAAGCCUUCCCACCACUGCCUGGAUGGGCUGCAGCAGUCCCCCCGCCCGCCACCUGCUCCCCGGCACAGGCUGCACGUUAGAAUCAUGAAAUCGCUAUGUCGAAGAGAGAUCUGCACCCAGUGUUCACCGCAGCACUAUUCACAACAGCCAAGACGUGGGAACGACCUGGGUGUCCAUCGACAGAUGAAUGGAUAAAGAAAACGUGGGUCAAGGUUCUGCAGACUUCUCAACAGAUCUCUGAAUCCGCCUGGUCCAGGUCCCCCGCCCAGGGAGCCAUACUCAGAACAAGAGCAGCUGGGAGUCAAAGCACAUUUGGUUCACGUCCAAAGUAGCAUCCGACAGCCCUCCAGGAGGGGGCUCCCUGGGAGAAACCAGGUUGGCCAGGAGGCUCCAGCUAUCUGAGCUCCUCCCCCUGAAACUGAACUGAACUGAAGGUGUCUGGGGCUGUAGGGCAGCCUAGAAGCAGUGAGACCACCAGCGGCAGGCGUGGGGAGGGCAGACCCCACCUCUGUGCGCUUGCCACAUAGGUACAGACAGCGCCUGGGGGCUUCCUUCCAAGGUGGUGUGACUGCCCAUUAGCAAAAUGCGGCCAAGCGAAUGCCAAGUUCUGAUCAGUCAGGUCAGCAACUCCCCUCCCCCAGAAUGAGGAACACCCUCCUCCCAACAUCCCCUGGCUAAACCACCGUUCCCGCCUUCCGUGGGUUUCCAUGCUCUGCCCCCUCCCACUUGCUGUCCUGGCUGCUUCAGUUCAUCAACAUCCCCCCGAGAGUGUGGAGCCCAGAAUGGGUACCUUGUUCUCCCUUGUUUUGCUUGAAUGCAGGAAAUAAAUCUCCGUUUCAGUAACUGGACCGUCAAAGACUAUAAUCUGUGUCCUGAACAAGACUCAAGGG